rnacentral:rRNA from 1 species
AUUGAACGCUGGCGGCAUGCCUUACACAUGCAAGUCGAACGGCGGCACGGGUGCUUGCACCUGGUGGCGAGUGGCGAACGGGUGAGUAAUACAUCGGAACAUGUCCUGUAGUGGGGGAUAGCCCGGCGAAAGCCGGAUUAAUACCGCAUACGAUCUACGGAUGAAAGCGGGGACCUUCGGGCCUCGCGCUAUAGGGUUGGCCGAUGGCUGAUUAGCUAGUUGGUGGGGUAAAGGCCUACCAAGGCGACGAUCAGUAGCUGGUCUGAGAGGACGACCAGCCACACUGGGACUGAGACACGGCCCAGACUCCUACGGGAGGCAGCAGUGGGGAAUUUUGGACAAUGGGCGAAAGCCUGAUCCAGCAAUGCCGCGUGUGUGAAGAAGGCCUUCGGGUUGUAAAGCACUUUUGUCCGGAAAGAAAUCCUUGGCUCUAAUACAGUCGGGGGAUGACGGUACCGGAAGAAUAAGCACCGGCUAACUACGUG